GUACUUAAGCAUAUCAAUAAGCGGAGGAAAAGAAACCAACAGGGAUUGCCCUAGUAACGGCGAGUGAAGCGGCAACAGCUCAAAUUUGAAAUCUGGCGUCUUUGGCGUCCGAGUUGUAAUUUGCAGAGGGCGCUUUGGCGUUGGCAGCGGUCCAAGUUCCUUGGAACAGGACGUCACAGAGGGUGAGAAUCCCGUACGUGGUCGCUGGCCUUCGCCGUGUAAAGCCCCUUCGACGAGUCGAGUUGUUUGGGAAUGCAGCUCUAAAUGGGAGGUAAAUUUCUUCUAAAGCUAAAUACUGGCCAGAGACCGAUAGCGCACAAGUAGAGUGAUCGAAAGAUGAAAAGCACUUUGGAAAGAGAGUCAAACAGCACGUGAAAUUGUUGAAAGGGAAGCGCUUGCAGCCAGACUUGCCUGUAGUUGCUCAUCCGGGCUUUUGCCCGGUGCACUCUUCUAUAGGCAGGCCAGCAUCAGUUUGGGCGGUUGGAUAAAGGUCUCUGUCAUGUACCUCUCUUCGGGGAGAACUUAUAGGGGAGACGACAUGCAACCAGCCUGGACUGAGGUCCGCGCAUCUGCUAGGAUGCUGGCGUAAUGGCUGUAAGCGGCCCGUCUUGAAACACGGACCAAGGAGUCUAACAUCUAUGCGAGUGUUUGGGUGUCAAGCCCGAGCGCGCAAUGAAAGUGAACGGAGGUGGGAACCUUUCGGGGUGCACCAUCGACCGAUCCUGAUGUCUUCGGAUGGAUUUGAGUAAGAGCAUAGCUGUUGGGACCCGAAAGAUGGUGAACUAUGCUUGAAUAGGGUGAAGCCAGAGGAAACUCUGGUGGAGGCUCGCAGCGGUUCUGACGUGCAAAUCGAUCGUCAAAUUUGGGCAUAGGGCGAAAGACUAAUCGAA
rnacentral:rRNA from 1 species